GACGAAUGCUGGCGGCAUGCCUAACACAUGCAAGUCGAACGGAGAUUAUUUCGGUAAUCUUAGUGGCGAACGGGUGAGUAACGCGUGGGCAACCUGCCCUCUAGAUGGGGACAACAUCCCGAAAGGGGUGCUAAUACCGAAUGUGACAGCAAUCUCGCAUGAGGAUGCUGUGAAAGAUGGCCUCUAUUUAUAAGCUAUCGCUAGAGGAUGGGCCUGCGUCUGAUUAGCUAGUUGGUGGGGUAACGGCCUACCAAGGCGAUGAUCAGUAGCCGGUCUGAGAGGAUGAACGGCCACAUUGGGACUGAGACACGGCCCAGACUCCUACGGGAGGCAGCAGUGGGGAAUCUUCCGCAAUGGGCGAAAGCCUGACGGAGCAAUGCCGCGUGAGUGAUGAAGGAAUUCGUUCCGUAAAGCUCUUUUGUUUAUGACGAAUGUGCAGAUUGUGAACAAUGAUCUGUAAUGACGGUAGUAAACGAAUAAGCCACGGCUAACUACGUG
rnacentral:rRNA from 1 species